rnacentral:lncRNA from 1 species
UUAUGGCAGGAAAACACAAGGGGACCAAAAUGGCUCCUCUUAUUCUUACUCUUCUAGUGGUGUUAGUAUCUCAGUACUUGCCUUUACAGACUCAAGCAUCAGCCUAUACUUACUCUUCCCCUCCUCCUCCUUAUCACUAUAAGUCACCACCACCCCCUCCCCCGGUUCACUCACCACCACCACCACCCUACCACUACAAAUCACCACCACCGCCACCCCCGGUUCACUCACCACCACCACCUUACCAUUAUAAGUCCCCACCCCCACCACCUCCCAAGCACUCACCACCUCCUCCUUACCACUACAAAUCACCACCACCUCCUCCUCCUGUCCACUCACCACCCCCUCCUUACCAUUAUAAAUCCCCACCUCCACCAGUGCACUCACCACCUCCUCCAUACCACUAUAAAUCCCCACCACCACCACCUCCAGUUCACUCUCCACCCCCACCAUAUCAUUACAAGUCACCACCACCGCCAGUACACUCACCACCUCCUCCUUAUCACUACAAGUCACCACCACCACCAGUGCACUCCCCCCCCCCACCAUAUCAUUACAAGUCACCACCACCGCCAGUACACUCACCACCACCUCCUUAUCACUACAAGUCACCACCACCACCAGUGCACUCCCCUCCCCCACCAUACCACUACAAAUCACCACCACCCCCAGUGCAUUCACCACCACCACCAUACCACUAUAAGUCACCACCACCUCCAGUGCACUCACCACCACCCCCUUACCAUUACAAGUCACCACCUCCACCACCACCAGUACACUCCCCUCCCCCACCUUAUCACUACAAGUCACCACCACCCCCAGUGCAUUCACCACCACCACCAUACCACUAUAAGUCACCACCUCCCCCUCCACCCGUACACUCCCCUCCCCCCCCCUACCACUACAAAUCACCACCACCCCCAGUGCACUCACCACCACCACCAUACCAUUACAAAUCACCACCACCUCCACCUCCAGUACACUCUCCUCCCCCACCUUACCACUACAAAUCCCCACCCCCACCACCACCAACCACCCACUAUAUCUACAGUUCACCUCCUCCUCCUCAUCAUUAUUAGGAACUUACCUAUCAAGGCCAAGUAAUGAGCUAGCCUGCCUGAGGUAAUCUACAUUUCAUGUAAAGCUCCAGCAAGAGCAAAAAUUAUUAUUAAUCUGUCGCUUAAAAAUUAUAAACUAACGCUCGAAUAAUAC